UACGUAGGUGGCAAGCGUUGUUCGGAAUUACUGGGCGUAAAGGGCGCGUAGGCGGCGCAACAAGUCACUUGUGAAAUCUCCGGGCUUAACCCGGAGCGGCCAAGUGAUACUGUCGUGCUAGAGUGCGGAAGGGGCUACUGGAAUUCUCGGUGUAGCGGUGAAAUGCGUAGAUAUCGAGAGGAACACCUGCGGCGAAGGCGGGUAGCUGGGCCGACACUGACGCUGAGGCGCGAAAGCCAGGGGAGCGAACGGG
rnacentral:rRNA from 1 species